rnacentral:rRNA from 1 species
CUGAGCUGGGUGCUUGCACCUGGUGGAUGAGUGGCGAACGGGUGAGUAAUACGUGAGUGACCUUCCUUGGACUCUGGGAUAAGCCCGGGAAACUGGGUCUAAUACCGGAUACGACCAGUCCUCGCAUGGGGUGCUGGUGGAAAGGGUUUGUACUGGUUCUUGAUGGGCUCACGUCCUAUCAGCUUGUUGGUGAGGUAAUGGCUUACCAAGGCGACGACGGGUAGCCGGCCUGAGAGGGUGACCGGCCACACUGGGACUGAGACACGGCCCAGACUCCUACGGGAGGCAGCAGUGGGGAAUAUUGCACAAUGGGCGCAAGCCUGAUGCAGCGACGCCGCGUGGGGGAUGACGGCCUUCGGGUUGUAAACCUCUUUCAGCAGGGAAGAAGCGAAAGUGACGGUACCUGCAGAAGAAGCGCCGGCUAACUACGUGCCAGCAGCCGCGGUAAUACGUAGGGCGCAAGCGUUGUCCGGAAUUAUUGGGCGUAAAGAGCUCGUAGGCGGUUUGUCGCGUCUGCUGUGAAAGCCCGGGGCUCAACCCCGGGUGUGCAGUGGGUACGGGCAGGCUGGAGUGCAGUAGGGGAGACUGGAAUUCCUGGUGUAGCGGUGAAAUGCGCAGAUAUCAGGAGGAACACCGAUGGCGAAGGCAGGUCUCUGGGCUGUUACUGACGCUGAGGAGCGAAAGCAUGGGGAGCGAACAGGAUUAGAUACCCUGGUAGUCCAUGCCGUAAACGUUGGGCACUAGGUGUGGGGGGACAUUCCACGUUUUCCGCGCCGUAGCUAACGCAUUAAGUGCCCCGCCUGGGGGAGUACGGCCGCAAGGCUAAAACUCAAAGGAAUUGACGGGGGCCCGCACAAGCGGCGGAGCAUGCGGAUUAAUUCGAUGCAACGCGAAGAACCUUACCAAGGCUUGACAUACACCGGAUCGCAGC